rnacentral:rRNA from 1 species
UACGUAGGCAGCGAGCGUUGUUCGGAGUUACUGGGCGUAAAGGGUGCGUAGGCGGUUGUUUAAGUUUGGUGUGAAAUCUCCCGGCUCAACUGGGAGGGUGCGCCGAAUACUGAAUGACUAGAGUGCGGGAGAGGAGAGUGGAAUUCCUGGUGUAGCGGUGAAAUGCGCAGAUAUCAGGAGGAACACCGGUGGCGAAGGCGGGUCUCUGGGCCGAUACUGACGCUGAGGCACGAAAGCGUGGGGAGCAAACAGG